rnacentral:rRNA from 1 species
AUGGAGAUCUUGAUGGAGUACGAUGAUGGCGAUGUGGCGCAGGUGGACCUCAUGGAGUUCGGCUGGGCUGGCGGCGGUGGACGCGGAUGCAUGAGUUGUGGGGCUCCAUCUGUCGCUCGACCACCGCUUACUCCCACUCUGUUCACUGGUUUUGUUUUCACUGUCACGCCUGUUCCUCGUCAACCUGCAGCAGCAGGAGACAUGAGAUCACCUCCGGCACCGCUGGUCACAUGA